rnacentral:rRNA from 1 species
GGCGAGUGAAGUGGGAAAAGCUCAACUUUAAAAUCUGGCAGCUUCGCUGUCCGAGUUGUAGUCUCGAGAAGUGUUUUCCGCGCUGGAUCGUGUAUGAGUCUGUUGGAAUACAGCGUCAUAGAGGGUGAGAACCCCGUUCAUGACACGACUACCAGUGCUUUGUGAUACACUUUCGAUGAGUCGAGUUGUUUGGGAAUGCAGCUCAAAAUGGGUGGUAAAUUCCAUCUAAAGCUAAAUAUUGGCGAGAGACCGAUAGCAAACAAGUACCGUGAGGGAAAGAUGAAAAGCACUUUGGAAAGAGAGUUAACAGUACGUGAAAUUGUCGAAAGGGAAACGCUUGAAGUCAGACGUGCGCGGUGCGAUUCAGCCUUGGUUCGCCAGGGUGUACUUCGUACCAUUGCAGGCCAGCAUCGGUUUUGUGAGCCGGAUAAAGGUUAGAGGAAGGUAGCGGUCCAGGCCGUGUUAUAGCCUCUAACUGAAUACGGAUUGUGAGACCGAGGGACGCAGCGCGCCGCAAGGCAAAGGGUCCGCCCUUUU